rnacentral:siRNA from 1 species
GUAAGCAAACCAAAAAGGUGUGGA